CCAGGCAGCGGUGGCAGACACACAGCAAUGCAAAGUGAUGGGUAUACCCGAGGAGGCAGCCAGAUUCGGCACCUGAUCCAGCACCCGUUUGGGAUUGGAAAAUUAACCCCAAACCAGAAAAUCAACAGCUACUACCUGUCAGCCACAGUGAUCCUCAGACCAAGUCACCAAGAGGAAGCUCUGGGCUCAGAGGAGCCCCUGUUGACUUGUCUGUCUCUCUCUGUCUCUCUCUCUCUCAGAUAUUAAGAAGCAGUGCUCCACUUUGAGGAAAACUCUAUCAAGUAAUCAGGCAUGGCUCUUGCCUGGAAGCUGGCAGACAGACAAGCUGGUCCCAGGUCAGCUGAAUCCCAACAGUCCACAUAAAAGAAAGAGCACCUAGGCUCUGGUCUUCUGAAUGUAAUACACCAGCUCAUGAUGGAGAAGCCUUAACAAUCUUUAGCACCACAGACUUAUACUUUCAGAGCUGGAAAGAGACCUUAGCAACCAUUCCUUAAUUUUACAGAAGCAAAAGACUCAGAAAGGUGAAGUGAUUUGCCCAAGAUCACAGAGCCACUAGGUGACAGCACUGACAGGACCAGAAUUUCCUGACCUUUAGAAUAGGCGAGGACUUAAAACUCCAGGACUAGGCCAACAUGGGAUUUAUCAGUUACAAAUGCUCUUAAAGAGUUUCACCCAGAUUCCUUCCCUCUGCUGACUAAGGCGCGGGCCUAGUCUUUCCCCCCACUGCCCACUCUCUUUACCCCCACCUUUGGAACCCUGCAUCAUUUCCCUGCCUCUGGAGAGUCUAACCUAUCUUUCUGCAGAAGUGGGGAUGGGGGCAGGAGUUUGUGUUUUACAAAAGCUCCCAAGUGCUCCUGAUACCCUGGAUUCAGAUCUUGUCUUCUAGGGUGCCCUGUCCCUGCUCCUCCCUGCCCCCUCCCCUCUAUCCUAUAUACUAUUGCUUUCAACCCAAAGAUUCUACUCCCUCACAACCUUUACCUUAUCCGGUCAAGAAACCCCAACUGCCUUCUGAGACAUCUCCUACUGUAUUCUUAGCAACCUUCCUUUUGCCUCUCCUUCCUACUUUGGCAUCUGGAGUCCCUGAGGUCACUUAACCUCUUCACCAGAGUCUUUAAGAGGGUGGGCUGUCUUUUAAGCUACAGGGACACAUGACUCAUUAGUGAGGAGACCCUGGAGCCAGCUUCAGAGACCUGCCAGGACCCACAGCCUCCUUGAGAUUCUGAACAUCCACCCUCCUGCUAUAGUAUGAGCCCCUCUUUUCUUAAGGGAACUGGAAACAAUAGAGAAAGGUGGAGUCCAGCUUAUUUCAAGUGUUUAAGAACAUUACUAAAUUGUUUUUGCUUCUAGGUCCUAUUAUGUGAAAUGCAUCCCACUUCACACCUGCCCUCCCAGUAUGUAACCUGCACCCCCAACCCUGGCCCCAACCACUUCUCAAGACUGAUGAGUCUCUUCAUAAGAUAACUCACCACCCCUAUUUUAAAGAGAGAAUAGCUGUGAAAUGCAAGUUUGAUCUGCUAAAGAGAUUUACAUCCAAAUAUCCAGGAA